UACGUAGGGAGCAAGCGUUGUUCGGAUUUACUGGGCGUAAAGCGAGUGUAGGCGGUUUCCUAAGUCGGAUGUGAAAGCCCCGGGCUCAACCCGGGAAGUGCACUCGAAACUGGGAGGCUAGAGUAUCGGAGAGGUUGGUGGAAUUCUCAGUGUAGAGGUGAAAUUCGUAGAUAUCGAGAGGAACACCGGUGGCGAAGGCGGCCAACUGGACGAAUACUGACGCUGAGACUCGAAAGCGUGGGGAGCAAACAGG
rnacentral:rRNA from 1 species